UACGUAGGAGGCAAGCGUUAUCCGGAAUGACUGGGCGUAAAGGGUGCGUAGGUGGUUUGACAAGUUGGUAGCGCAACUCCGGGGCUCAACCUCGGCACUACUACUAAAACUGUUGGACUUGAGUGCAGGAGGGGCAACUGGAAUUCCUAGUGUAGCGGUGGAAUGCGUAGAUAUUAGGAGGAACACCAGUGGCGAAGGCGAGUUGCUGGACUGUAACUGACGCUGAGGCUCGAAAGCAUGGGUAGCGAACAGG
rnacentral:rRNA from 1 species